AAAAAAAGGAAACAGAUGGAAAUUGUGGAGGAUGUGGUGGUCGGUGGUGGCAUAGCUGGGUUGGCCACCGGAGUUGCCUUCAAAAGAGUUGGGGUUCAAGCUUUGAUCUUGGAGAGAUCAGAAACUCUCCGUACCACUGGUGCAGCUUUAGGCCUACUUCCAAAUGCUUGGCUCGCUCUUGAUGCUCUUGGCAUUUCUCAUAAGCUCACUUCUAGAUAUGCUCCUUCCUUAAGGUACAUAUACUGAUGCGAUGCUGCUCUCCUACCUUCUGAUCACAAUAAGUUUGAAAUUUUGUUUAAUUAAUUUUUAAGUGUCUCUUAAGUUUUAAUCCUCACAUAAUUAUUUGGGGGUUUGUAACCAAUGUGGCUGCUGGAGCUGUUCAGGAAAUCUUCUACUCUGAAGCCGAAGGUAAGGAGCCCAGAACAGUUCAUCGCAAAGCACUAUUAGAAGCUCUAGCACAAGAAUUGCCUGAUGAUUCAAUUCGAUUUUCUUCCAA
rnacentral:misc_RNA from 1 species